rnacentral:rRNA from 1 species
CCUACGGGAGGCAGCAGUGGGGAAUUUUGGACAAUGGGCGCAAGCCUGAUCCAGCCAUGCCGCGUGCGGGAAGAAGGCCUUCGGGUUGUAAACCGCUUUUGUCAGGGAAGAAAAAGUUCUGGAUAAUACCCGGGACUCAUGACGGUACCUGAAGAAUAAGCACCGGCUAACUACGUGCCAGCAGCCGCGGUAAUACGUAGGGUGCAAGCGUUAAUCGGAAUUACUGGGCGUAAAGCGUGCGCAGGCGGUUAUGCAAGACAGAGGUGAAAUCCCCGGGCUCAACCUGGGAACUGCCUUUGUGACUGCAUAGCUAGAGUACGGUAGAGGGGGAUGGAAUUCCGCGUGUAGCAGUGAAAUGCGUAGAUAUGCGGAGGAACACCGAUGGCGAAGGCAAUCCCCUGGACCUGUACUGACGCUCAUGCACGAAAGCGUGGGGAGCAAACAGGAUUAGAUACCCUGGUAGUCCACGCCCUAAACGAUGUCAACUGGUUGUUGGGAGGGUUUCUUCUCAGUAACGAAGCUAACGCGUGAAGUUGACCGCCUGGGGAGUACGGCCGCAAGGUUGAAACUCAAAUGAAUUGACGG